rnacentral:rRNA from 1 species
UACGUAGGGUGCAAGCGUUGCCCGGAUUUACUGGGCGUAAAGGGCGCGUAGGCGGCCACCGCAAGUCGGUUGUGAAAUCUCCGGGCUUAACCCGGAAAGGUCAAUCGAUACUGCGGGGCUAGAGUGCAGAAGGGGCAACUGGAAUUCUCGGUGUAGCGGUGAAAUGCGUAGAUAUCGAGAGGAACACCUGCGGCGAAGGCGGGUUGCUGGGCUGACACUGACGCUGAAGCGCGAAAGCUAGGGGAGCGAACGGG